UUUUUUGAGAGUUUGAUCCUAGCUCAGGAUGAACGCUGGCGGCGUGGAUAAGGCAUGCAAGUCGAACGAUCCAUUUUUUGAACAAGAUGAGAUUACAUCAAAUUAAGGGAAGAAAAUGGAUAGUGGCGAACGAGUUAGUAAUACCUUGGUACAUACCCUAAAGUGGAACAUAAUUCGUCGAAAGGCGGACUAAUUUUCCAUAGUAUCCGAUGCAACAUUCGGAUUAAAGGCAGCAGUCGAGAAUAUUCCACAAUGGGCGAAAGCCUGAUGGAGCGACGCCGCGUGCAGGAUGAAGGCCUUCGGGUUGUAAACUGCUUUUAACUGGGAAGAAGUCGCAAGACUGACGGUACCAGUUGAAUAAGGGGUUGCUAACUCUGUGCCAGCAGCAGCGGUAAUACAGAGACCCCGAGCGUUAUCCGGAUUUAUUGGGCGUAAAGAGCGUGUAGGGAGAUUGAUGUGUCUGAAGUUAAAUCUCAGGGCCUAACCCUGAGCCUGCUUCGGAAACUAUCAAACUAGAGGGCGUUAGAGGCAGAUGGAACAGCCGGUGUAGGGGUGAAAUCCGUUGAUAUCGGCUGGAACACCAAAGGCGAAGGCAUUCUGCUGGGACGUUCCUGACCCUGAGACGCGAAAGCGUGGGCAGCAAAAAGGAUUAGAUACCCUUGUAGUCCACGCCCUAAACGAUGUCCGCUAGCUGUUUCGAGUAUCGACCCUCGGAGUGGCGAAGCUAACGCGUUAAGCGGACCGCCUGGGAAGUACGGUCGCAAGACUAAAACUCAAAGGAAUAGACGGGGACCCGCACAAGCGGUGGAGCAUGAGGUUUAAUUCGAUGGUACACGAGAAACCUUACCAGGGUUUGAAAUGUUGGCGAAAGCUGUUUGAAAGGACAGCUGUCUCACAAGGACGCCAGCACAGGUGCUGCAUGGUUGUCGUCAGCUCGUGGUUUGAAUUGUUCCCUUAAGUGGGGUAACGAGCGCAACCCCUGUUGUCUGUUAUAAGUGUCAGACGAGACUGCCGUGUUUACACGGAGGAAGGCGGGGAUGACGUCAAAUCCGCAUGGCCCUCUGAUACCCUGGGCCACACUCAUGCUACAAUGGCCGAUACAAAGGGUUUGCCAAAGCGCAAGCUGGAGCUAAUCUCAGAAAAUCGGCCCCAGUUCGGAUUGAGGGCUGAAACUCGCCCUCAUGAAGCCGGAAUCGCUAGUAAUCGCGCAUCAGCUAUGGCGCGGUGAAUACGUUCUCGGGUCCUGUACUCACCGCCCGUCACGCCAAGGGAGCCGGGAGAAGGUGAACCCCGACAUUGCGUCGGAGCAGCCUUAGCUCGGUGACAUGGGCGAAGUCGUAACAAGGCACGCGUAGCGGAAGCUGUGCGUGAAUCAAUUAAACU
rnacentral:rRNA from 1 species